rnacentral:lncRNA from 1 species
UAAUAUAUAGAUAAUGUAUAAGUACUUCUAAUGGGGAAAAAUUACUUCAUCUCCUUUGUAAAAAUCAAUACUCACAAGCUACUAGUGACUAGUUCUUCAGUACUUCUAAUAAUAGGGAAACAAUAAGAUGAAUUUCAGUGUUUGUAUUUCAGUUUGUUUAUAUUUCUUCACUAUGACCUGUCUUUGGUAGUGAAAUAGCGCAUAUCUAGUGCUCUGUCUAUUAUUGACGUACUUGUAUUCCAAGUUCAAGGAAGAAUCUUUUCAACAAAAGUAACUGAUGUGCUGUAAUUAAACUUCGAUAUUCAAAGAGAUGCAGUAGACAGUGCCCAAAAAACACAAUACUAUAGACGCAUGUUUAGGCACUUCUAGUGCUCUGUCUAUUAUUGAUGUACUUGUAUUCCAAGUUAAGGGAAGAAUCUUUUCAACAAAAGUAACUGAUGUGCUGUAAUUAAACUUCGAUAUUCAAAGAGAUGCAGUAGAC